UACGUAGGGUGCGAGCGUUAAUCGGAAUUACUGGGCGUAAAGCGUGCGCAGGCGGUUUUGUAAGCCAGAUGUGAAAGCCCCGGGCUUAACCUGGGAAUGGCAUUUGGGACUGCAAGGCUGGAGUGUGGCAGAGGAGACUGGAAUUCCGUGGGUGUAGCAGUGAAAUGCGUAGAUAUCAGGAGGAACACCAGUGGUGUAGACGGCGUUCUGGACGAGUACUGACGCUGAGAUACGAAAGCGUGGGGAGCAAACAGG
rnacentral:rRNA from 1 species